rnacentral:rRNA from 1 species
UACGUAGGGUGCAAGCGUUAAUCGGAAUUACUGGGCGUAAAGCGUGCGCAGGCGGUUGUGCAAGACAGAUGUGAAAUCCCCGGGCUCAACCUGGGAACUGCAUUUGUGACUGCACGGCUGGAGUGCGGCAGAGGGGGAUGGAAUUCCGCGUGUAGCAGUGAAAUGCGUAGAGAUGUGGAGGAACACCGAUGGCGAAGGCAGCCUCUGGGCCAACACUGACGCUCAUGCACGAAAGCGUGGGGAGCAAACAGG